AAGAUAAAUAUAACUCAAUAAUAAAUGCUAUUGAUAAAUACAAAGAGAAUGAUAAGUAUAUACAUAAAACAGCCUAACAAACAAAAGAUAAGCAUUAUUAACACAUUUUACUAAGUAAGCAAUCUUAAGGAAUAUUAUCUUUAACACCACGGUCAAACCAACCUAAAUCAGAACUGAAGCAGGUUCCAAGUGCCUUCUUUGGCUAUCAAAACUUAUUGGAAUGCUUUGCCCAGCUGGCCAACAUUUUUUCCAUUGUAUUCAAUGUUUAUAUUACACCCCUUUCCUCUUACAGUCUGUCAACUUCAAGAUCUAGGAUGGAAAUGUUGUUACUUGUUGCGGCCAUUUGAUCGAGAACCUUACUUUCAUUUGUUUCUCUCGGGCUCUCUUUUUACUCGGGAGCUUAUUUGUUACUUUUUUACAUGUAAUAUAUAGACAUUGUAGAGAUAACUAUGAAUGACCCAGAUCAUGCGUAUGUCUAAGAGCAUGUUUGGUAUGCUUUUCUAAAGGCCCAGAAACAGAGUUAAGCCAUACCGUUUGACAUUGUUUGGUUUAUGGGCUUGGAUAAUGCUUACCGUUUCUUAGGUGUAACCUACUCCACCUAUCUGUUACCACUCAUAACCCAACAAAAACAAAUACCUCUCCAGUUUUCUAAACAUCGUACUAGUUCUUUCAUCUCUCUCUCCCUCUAUGUCUCUCUCCUCUUCAAUCUUUCCCAGUCUCUCAGUCAAAUUGGACUUUAAUUUGUUCAGUAUAUUUGUUCUCAUUAUCUGAUUUAAGUUAUCCGAGAAUCCCAAUAACAUCUUCUGAAAUUUCGGUGUUAAGAUUCUUGAAUUUGAAUCUGGGCAAAAGAAAUUGGAAAUUUGCAAAACUGGUGUACUUUACUUUGUACGAACAACUUAAGGGCCUUCUUGGAUCUGAUGUUGUGGUGCAUUAGUAGAUGGGAAUCAACAACUUUCAGUGGGUGCAAAUAUGAUUGCGGCUUCUAGAGCUGGUGUUUCUACAGUCACUAUUACAAAUCCUCUUUGGGUUGUAAAGACGAGAUUUCAGGUUUUUUAAUAGUAUUCAAGAAAUGUUCCGCCGUGUAAGUGAGCAGUUCACUGCCAUGUUCCGUAGAAAGGCCUUCUUGCAUUGGUACACUGGCGAAGGAAUGGACUAGAUGGAGUCCACUAAAGCAGAAAGAAACAUGAAUGAUUUAGUUUCUGAGUACUAGCAAUGCCAGGACGCAACUAAUGAGGAGGAUAAAUACGGAGAUGACGAGGAGGAAUUCCUGGAGGAUUAAGAAAAAGAAUUGAUGGGUUAGACAACUUAUCUACUUGUGAAAUACAUACAAUUGUUGCUGGAGUCUUAAAAGUAUUGUAUUAGUAUCUACAUUUUCUAUAGAUUAGAAUUUUGUUGUUAUACAGAUGUAAUAUGUUAUCUUGUGGGAUUUGAGGUUACAUUAUUUGGUUAAAUAUUGGUGAACUUCAUAGUGUCA